UGAUGAGUGAACCAUUACAACAGCUCCGGCAAGCCAGAGUCCUCUCCGUCCUGUUUGAUGGCGCAACAGAUGUCUCCGAUUGUGAAAACGAAAUUGUAUACGCUAGAAUAGCAACUGGUGGUGUUCCACGUUGUGUAUAUGUUCACACACAGCCAGUGAAACAUGGGCAUGCUGAAGGUGUCCUGGAAGCAAUUGAAACCGCUAUGACAUCCGUGGAAUGUUGGAAGGAGAGGCUCAUAACCACUGGUUCCGAUGGUGCAAUUGUCAAUCUCGGAAGGCAGCAUAGUGUCACU